rnacentral:misc_RNA from 1 species
GAUGAAGAACGUAGCGAAAUGCGAUAAGUAAUGUGAAUUGCAGAAUUCAGUGAAUCAUCGAAUCUUGAACGCACAUUGCGCCCCCUGGUAUUCCGGGGGGCAUGCCUGUCCGAGCGUCAUUACAACCCUCAAGCUCAGCUUGGUGUUGGGCCCCGCCGCCCCGGCGGGCCCUAAAGUCAGUGGCGGUGCCGUCCGGCUCCGAGCGUAGUAAUUCUUCUCGCUCUGGAGGUCCGGUCGUGUGCUCGCCAGCAACCCCCAAUUUUUUUCAGGUUGACCUCGGAUCAGGUAGGGAUACCCGCUGAACUUAAGCAUAUCAAUAAGCGGAGGA